AAUUGACUUACUGCCUCCUGGGCAGUCCUAAGGCAGGACUUCAACUGCCAUUGGUAGAUGUAGAAUUCGGGGAAGGCAAAGGAAGUGACAUAAGAAAAAGUGUCUUUAAAAUGGAGUUACAAUUUCCUAAAUCAAUUUCUAUUGGCAGUUCUUCAUUCCUUGAAGUGGAGGCUGGUAAAGAAUAUGCUGACUGAAGCUAAGACCCUGUUUCCUGGUGAGACUGUUCUAAAAUGUAUUCCUUUGAACUGACACACGGUAUGAAGAAAGAAGCAAGAAGGCAACCCCUUGUUCUGGACUUUUUUUUUUUUCCCCAUGGAUUAUAUCCAUGUUGGUGAAGAUCAGGCAUGCAUGCUCUAGGGUGCCAGAGGGCGCUGCUCCCAUCACCAUCUCUGCCACACCUGAGGACAUUUUUUGCCUGCUCCAUUCAUCAAACUUCUGUCCAGCAAAGCAAUAACUGCCUUCAAAUCACUGACCUCAAGACUUCCAGUAAAGAUGGCAGCUUAGAAGAAGCAAGAGUUCAGACCUCUGAAAACCCUUCCUUACUUAUCACAAACUGAAUGCUCCUAGGAGACUAAAAUUCAAACUUAACAACAGGACAGAGGUGGGGAACCCUCCUUCAGGACUCAAAUCAAAAGGUUCAC
rnacentral:lncRNA from 1 species